GUGCUAUACUGCAAGUCGAACGCACAGCGAAAGGUGCUUGCACCUUUCAAGUGAGUGGCGAACGGGUGAGUAACACGUGGACAACCUGCCUCAAGGCUGGGGAUAACAUUUGGAAACAGAUGCUAAUACCGAAUAAAACUCAGUGUCGCAUGACACAAAGUUAAAAGGCGCUUUGGCGUCACCUAGAGAUGGAUCCGCGGUGCAUUAGUUAGUUGGUGGGGUAAAGGCCUACCAAGACAAUGAUGCAUAGCCGAGUUGAGAGACUGAUCGGCCACAUUGGGACUGAGACACGGCCCAAACUCCUACGGGAGGCUGCAGUAGGGAAUCUUCCACAAUGGGCGAAAGCCUGAUGGAGCAACGCCGCGUGUGUGAUGAAGGCUUUCGGGUCGUAAAGCACUGUUGUAUGGGAAGAACAGCUAGAAUAGGGAAUGAUUUUAGUUUGACGGUACCAUACCAGAAAGGGACGGCUAAAUACGUGCCAGCAGCCGCGGUAAUACGUAUGUCCCGAGCGUUAUCCGGAUUUAUUGGGCGUAAAGCGAGCGCAGACGGUUGAUUAAGUCUGAUGUGAAAGCCCGGAGCUCAACUCCGGAAUGGCAUUGGAAACUGGUUAACUUGAGUGCAGUAGAGGUAAGUGGAACUCCAUGUGUAGCGGUGGAAUGCGUAGAUAUAUGGAAGAACACCAGUGGCGAAGGCGGCUUACUGGACUGUAACUGACGUUGAGGCUCGAAAGUGUGGGUAGCAAACAGGAUUAGAUACCCUGGUAGUCCACACCGUAAACGAUGAACACUAGGUGUUAGGAGGUUUCCGCCUCUUAGUGCCGAAGCUAACGCAUUAAGUGUUCCGCCUGGGGAGUACGACCGCAAGGUUGAAACUCAAAGGAAUUGACGGGGACCCGCACAAGCGGGGGAACAUGUGGUUUAAUUC
rnacentral:rRNA from 1 species